AUGACACCGUUAGCCAGCAGUGUGUCUCCUGAAAAGAGAGCUGAUUAGAGAGGCAGUUUUGAAUUUAGGAGUGGCAAGAUGGCAGCGGCAAACCCUGGCGGUUCUCCGGGUUCGUGGCAACCACGGAUGGGGAAAAUGUGGAGGUUGCACGGCUGAUGUUUACUGUUCAUGGCACAGGAAGAGGCAGUUUUAUUUCAGGAAUGAGUGAGCACAAUCAAAGAAUAGAGCGACUGUGGAGAGACCUCUGGGUGGCCAUUACAUGCUUUACUACGAUGUUCUUCACAACCUUGAGGAAGAAGACCUUCUUGACAUUUCAAAUGCUGCACACCUCUUUUGCUGCCAUUACGUCUUUCUUCCUCGACUGGAGGAUGAUUUUAAUACAUUUUGCAGUGGAUGGGACAACCAUCCACUGCGAACAGAAAACAACAUGAGUCCCAACCAGCUGUGGGAGUUGGGUCACAGAUAUCACCCUGUUCCUGUUCCAGAAAACACACAGCUUAUCACACAUUUGAUUUCCAUGUGUGACGACUGCAAGUGUCCAGAGUGAGGACAGACU